UUUUAAAAUGAUAAAUGCCUUGCUUUGCGUAGGAAUCGUCAAACGCCCGUCCUACGCCUGUUUUAGGUCGUACGCACGUUUCAUAAAUGAGGGCCAAUGUGUGUGAGCAAACAUAUGGAUUUGUGUUG